AGUUGAUCUGUUGCUUGAGAGGCACUGUGCCCUCUUGUGGUGGGUCUGUUGCAUGCAACCAAAAAGCUUUAUUUUUUUGCACAUCUGAACUUAAAUUGGACAUUUCAUCCAACUCCAGAGCCCUUCAGGGUCAGUUUUGAGUCUGCUGUGUUUUCCAUCUGGGUCUCUGCACAAACACAGACCCUUUUGCAGACUUCGGCUCUGCAGCUUGGUAUGACAUCAUACAAUGUGGCAUCACUUCCCUGCAGGCCAGAACACUGAAGAUGGAAUGUAGGUCGGUGGGUCUCUGAGAAGGAUAAUGACACAAAACACACCUCCAAGACCACAAAGGGAUGGCUAAAACAGAAGCACAUUAAGGUCGUGAAGUGGCCGGGCCAAUGUCCUGUCCUCAGUCUUACAAAUCCGCAGAGGAAGAUGAACUUUUGAGCUGUCAAGUGGGAGUAAACAAACCUAAAGGUUCUAUGCAGAGGAAUGGACCAAAAUCCCUCAGAGAUCUCUGCAAACCUCUCUCAUUGUUGUGCUCACCAACAAAGGUUUUUCCUCUAACUUCUAAUUGAUGUUUUGAUGGGGCAUGACUUGCCAAUCAUUGUUUAACUUUUCGGUAAUGUAUUUAUGGAUUAUAGGUUAAUAUUCUGUGUCUCUGCAUUAAAAUUAAACUACCCUAAGAAUUAAAGGCUGGUGAUUUCUUUGUGAGUAAACUUGGAACAUUGGGAGUCAAAUACUUAUUUCAUCCCCAGUUCUUUGAGUUUGUUGAAGUAAAAUAUUACC